CUUUAAUGAAGACACUAAAAAAAAGAUGUGCAUUUUUGUGUCUAUCACAGUAAAGUGAUCAACUCCAAGCUGAGUCCUGUCUUCAAUUAACGGAUGGUUGAAGAGUUCGCAGCCGUUACACUGAGGCUGAAAGGGAAGUGGCACAACAUCAUAACCAGGAAGUUCACAGCACUUGUCUCUUGUGGCCCAGGAAGUGCUGCACACGAUGUCAAAGAUCUGCAGCUGAAACUGGAGAACGACAGGAAGUAAAACACCUUCAAUUAACACUUUGCACACACUUUACACACACACACACACACACACACACACACACACACACACGUACCGGUGCUGAGUUGUCUCUGUUGCCACGGGAACGGACCAUCCUUCCCAGCACUUCCACUCCAUCGGUGGUGAUGUUUCCAGCCGCGUUGAUGUUCUUCUCGGCCACCGUCUUACAGUCCACCAGCACUUUGGCACUGGUGGUGCUGAUGGAGAUGUGAAGCUAUGAAAAACAUCAUCAUCAUCAUCAUCUUCAACCUGUGGCACUGUUUACCCAAUCUGUUCACGUAAAACACUUGUUUUAUUUCAUACUCCUGUACAAAGUGCAGUUUACCUGCUGGUGUAUCACUUUAACUGGUCAUCAUUAUAUCUGGUGACUUUUUUCUAUGCUGUCACACAGUGUUUACAUUAAAAACACAGGAUAACACCAUCACCAGUCCAGUUGUUGUUAUAUGUUGUGUGUUACUACUUUGUGCGACUUGCUGUGAUUUAAAGAAUCACCAGUUAUAAUGAUGACCAUUUGCAGUGGUACACCAACAGCUAAACUGAAAGUUAAUAAUAAUAAUAAUAAUAAUAAUGAGUUGUUCAUUAUUGAUAUGAGAUGAUGAUGAUGAUGAUGAUGAUGAUGAUGAAGAUGAUGAUGGGCGGACCUUAUGGAAGCUGCCGUAGAAGAGCUUCCUGAUCUCUGGACCUUCAAACGUCACCGUCUGAAAGUCUCCUUUGUAGUCGUUGUUGAAGAAGGUCAAAGUCUUUCCUCCGUCUGAGAGGAAAUUAAAACAUCAGCUCUGUAGCUCCUCCCCUGAUGGAGGCGGGGCCAGAGUGCGACUCACUGUCCAGGAUGACGCCCACUAGGGGCUCGUUGUCCUCGUUGAGGAUCUCCCACAUGGCGAAGGGUUCCUCGGGCGUGUCGGGCAGCAGGCGGAACAACAGCAUGACGGUGUAGUCGGAGGGUAAACCAUCAGGGUGGAGGUACCUGACACACACACACACGGUCAGCUCUGAUUGGACGCCAGGGGGCAGGGCUUGUCCUCCUUACCUGGUUGGCUGAGCCAGCAGGGCGUCGGCGUGAAGGUGGAAACAUGGGAAGGCGUUGAAGGUUCCAGGAACCAUGGACACCCCUGGUACGCUACCAUAGCGGUUCUCCAGCAGUCCAAACAGCUCCAUCAUCCUGAACCCUGAGGCAUGAUGGGAGAUGGUGUUCCAGCUCAACUGGUGAGCAUGUUAUCUCAUGACUGAUUUCUACCACAUUAGGCACUUGAAACCAGGGGUGGACUGGGACAUAAACUCUUUGUUCUGAGGCUAAAGGUAGAUCUGUAUUAAAUAUUUACUAAAACCAUGAUGACGCCAUUAUUAAGUCAGUGAUUCUCAUUAUGUGGCUCUUUUCCCCCAGAAAACCUUAAAAAAGGGAAACUAUUGAACCCUUUUUGGGUCAUUUUGCAACUUGCUUUGUCUCAUUUUUAUUCUUUCAUCAGAUUUUAGCCAAAAAAAAUUUUUGUUCUUAUUUUUGUCCAUUUUUGCAAGUUAUUUUUAACACUUUAAUCCAAUUUUUGUCCUUUCUUUAACCAUGUUUUACCUUUUGCCCAAUAAAUAACACUUGUAUUUGUCCUGUUUUUGUUCC
rnacentral:lncRNA from 1 species